rnacentral:sRNA from 1 species
UUAACUCGCAUAUACGACGUUUCAGGAUG